rnacentral:rRNA from 1 species
ACUUUACAAUGCAGGCAACUGUGAUAAGGGAACCCCGAGUGCCCGUAUGGACGGGCUGUUCAGGUGCUUAAAAACCACCUGGAGAAAGGGCCGGGCAAGACCGGUGCCAGCCGCCGCGGUAAUACCGGCGGCUCGAGUGGUGGCCACUAUUACUGGGCUUAAAGCGUCCGUAGCUUGGUCGUUAAGCCUCUGGGGAAAUCUUCCGGCUCAACCGGAAGGCGUCGCAGGGGAACUGGCGGCCUAGGGAUCGGGAGAGGUGAGAGGUACUCUGGGGGUAGGAGUGAAAUCCUGUAAUCCUCAGGGGACCACCUGUGGCGAAGGCGUCUCACCAGAACGACUCCGACAGUGAGGGACGAAAGCUGGGGGAGCAAACCGG